AUACGAAAGGUGCAAGCGUUGUUCGGAUUUACUGGGCGUAAAGAGAGCGUAGGUUGUUUAUUAAGUCGGAUGUGAAAUCCCGGGGCUCAACCUCGGAACUGCAUUCGAUACUGGUAGACUAGAGUUCGGGAGGGGUAAGCGGAAUUCCGUGUGUAGCAGUGAAAUGCGUAGAUAUACGGAGGAACACCUGAGGCGAAGGCGGCUUACUGGACCGAUACUGACACUGAGACUCGAAAGCGUGGGUAGCAAACAGGAUUAGAAACCCUAGUAGUCC
rnacentral:rRNA from 1 species